UACGUAGGGUGCAAGCGUUGUCCGGAAUGACUGGGCGUAAAGGGUGCGCAGGCGGUUAGGCAAGAUACAGGUGAAAUCCCCGGGCUUAACCUGGGAAUGGCCUGUAUGACUGCCUAGCUAGAGUGUGUCAGAGGGAGGUAGAAUUCCACGUGUAGCGGUGAAAUGCGUAGAGAUGUGGAGGAAUACCGAUGGCGAAGGCAGCCUCCUGGGAUAACACUGACGCUCAGGCACGAAAGCGUGGGGAGCAAACAGG
rnacentral:rRNA from 1 species